UCGAAACAGCAGCUCCCUUAUGAUUACCGAAGUUAAGCAACAUUGUGUGUGGUGAGUUCUUGGAUGGGUGACCAAUUGGGAAUACCAGGUGCUGUAAG